rnacentral:rRNA from 1 species
UAUCUCUGUAGAGUCUGCAUAUCAAUAAGCGGAGGAAAAGAAACUAACAAGGAUUCCCCUAGUAACGGCGAGUGAAGCGGGAAGAGCCCAAAUUUGAAAUCUUCAAGGUUUUACCUUGACGAAUUGUAGUUUAAAGAAGUGUUUUCUGUUGGAGUUUUGGUAAAAGUUCUUUGGAAUAGGACAUCAUAGAGGGUGAGAAUCCCGUAUUUGACCAUUUCUUCCAGCUGUGUGAUACACUUUCAAAGAGUCGGAUUGUUUGGGAAUGCAGUCCAAAAUGGGUGGUAAAUCUCAUCUAAAGCUAAAUAUUGGCGAGAGACCGAUAGCGAACAAGUACCGUGAGGGAAAGAUGAAAAGAACUUUGAAAAGAGAGUUAAACAGUACGUGAAAUUGUCAAAAGGGAAGCGUUUGACACCAGUGUUGUUUUUUCCGAAAAUCAAUUACGAAUGUUUUAUUUUUGAGGAGUUAUGACUUCAUCGGCUUGCUCCUUUCCUUUAUGAAACUUUCUUAAUGCACUUUUCGGUUAACAAGUCAACAUCAAUUUCUUUUGUUGUAAAAGGGUCAUUGGAAGGUGGCUUUCUUUUCGGAGAAAGUGCUUAUAGCCUUUGGCCUCUGCAAUCGGAGAGAUUGAGGUCUGCAGCGUAGAUCCUUCGGGGUUAGAUACAUUUGUGCUAAGUUAUAGCCUUUCAUAGACAACUUGUUGACUAUGAUCAGUCAUGUAGCUUACUCGCUUAUGCUAUUUUACCUACGCUUAGGAUGUUGAGUAGCGACAUACGCAC